rnacentral:rRNA from 1 species
UACGUAGGGGGCAAGCGUUGUCCGGAAUCAUUGGGCGUAAAGCGCGCGUAGGCGGCCCGGUAAGUCCGUUGUGAAAGUCAAAGGCUCAACCUUUGAACGCCGAUGGAUACUGCCGGGCCAGAGUCCGGAAGAGGCGAGUGGAAUUCCUGGUGUAGCGGUGGAAUGCGCAGAUAUCAGGAGGAACACCAAUAGCGAAGGCAGCUCGCUGGGACGGUACUGACGCUGAGGCGCGAAAGCGUGGGGAGCGAACAGG